GUCUGUACCAAACAUUGUCAGUGUUCCAGCCAUGCUGGUAAAUGUUUAACAAUGAGCUCUCAAAAAGAAAACCCCGAAUUAUGGCACUUGCCAAUUUCCAUGGUGUAAAUACUCCCACAUGGCUGACAUCAAACUAAAUUAAUGGUUGUCUCCACACAUGUAGCUGGGAAGCAAUGCUCACACCCCAGAGGGAGCUGGCCCCGAACACCCCCCUGUGCCCUCUUGCCUGACCCGGUUUGGACACCAGCUGCCUGGCGGCCAGUGCUGGGGCGUUUUGUCCGGUGCUGCCCUCAGAAGGCACUCUGCCUGAGAGUACGCAAAGCCAGCAGUGCCUGGGAGUUUACAGCCCCCAGGGGGAUCUUGUGGGUACAAAUACUGCAACUGUUGGCUCUGAUUGGCUGGCUCUGGGAUGUGACUUCCUCCCUAGAGGCUGAGCCAAAGGCAUCUUCAGCUGACUUUGCUUGAAGCCUCACCUUGGCUUGGCUUCCUGCCUUUUUUCCUCUCAGUUCCUCUUCCACCUGUCUUUGCAGAUAACUUUCCUGGUAACUUCCUUUCACACGCAACCUUGUCUCAGGGUCUACUUCUAGGGAACCCACGUAAGGCUGCAUCUCUAGAUAUCUUUUUCCCUUAAAUGCCCUGGGGUUUGGGAGAGUUUCCCACUCAAUAAUACUCAGUAAGCUUUCCCAUUAACCCCGCUAUAAGCUUUUCUUGGUUUCCUCUGUGUCUGUGCCCCAAGGUGUGUCUGUCGUGGGGGGAUGAGUCAUGGAGCAAAGUCCUCCCCACUGACUCAGCAAUGCCAUUUCCUGCCCACAACCUUCUAGAACUCUUGCACUUUGACACAAUGGGGACCAGCCCACCCCUGAUUCACCAGCUCAGUUUUCUGUCACAUCCUGUACUUUCCCUGAGGAUUUUUCUGUUCUCCUUCUGACCAGAGUCAACGCCAACCAACCCACAAGCAGCAGAGAACAGAAACGUGGCCAGAUGGUCUCCAAUACGGAUCAAAAACAUAAAGAGGCAAACGUGGAGGGGCGGAAGGUCCUUGGCCCUUUUCUCUUGAAAUUGAGUUCGCUGUGUUGAAAUGUCCAUCGUGUCUGCAUCCCCUUCCUGGUUUUCCCCAAAGAGGCCGUGGCGGGGGAACAGGUGGCGUUCCAUGUGGUGGCAACAUGAAGGGAUCACUCGCCAGCGAGCAUAAUCGCUCUGGAAACAUUCGGAAUACUCAUAUGUUCUGUACUUUUCCCCUGAGUCAAUAAGGUAGAAAUGCAUCAGGAGAAAGUCAAAGGUUUCUGUCAAAAUCCAGACCACAGGGAGAAAAUGACGAGUUGAUGGGGCUCACCCUGUGAUCAAUUUCUCCGUGAACCUGACAGGGAAGUCUUCUUAGAGGGCACCUCAGCGUCUGAAGUUGGCUUUCACAAUGAGCAGAAGGUGAAAAGCUGCCAAACAACAGCCACUUUCAAAAUCCAGUGAAAACAGAACUAAGCCAACAAAGGAAUAACAAGGUCCCAGGUUGCAAAACAAAACAAGUUGGGAAAACUUGUCCAAGAGCUGUACUGAACUCUUGCAUGGGCGCUGACGUACACAAAUCAUCCUCAUCACCUCUGAAACGAGGCAGCUCUAAAUUACUUCUUGAAUUCCAUAUGGUUAAUCUGCAGGCACAGGAACAUGCUUUAGGGUGAAAUUUAGUUGUUGUUGUUUUCACUGGGCUUGCAAUAACAUAUUGUAAAUGACUAAGGCUAGAUGACACUUUCACACCAGUCUUGAAAUCAUCCCAGUGAUCUUGACCCAAUGCCAGAUGAGGAUCUUGGUGCAGAUAAAGCGACUGUGCUUCUUCUUCCUGCAGAAUUAACAUUAACAAUCCUGCACAUUAACAAUCUAGAACUAUGUUAGCCAGGGUAUUUGAGGCAGAAUUCUGAACUGAAAUUGGUCGUCUCCUAGCACAAUGAUUUUUAAAUACAAAACAAGCAAACACACAAAAAGAAAAAAAGAAACAACAAGAAAUUUUAAAAUGUCGUAUCUAUCUUAUGAAAGCCAAAAUGAAAGAUUGGCAACCUUUCCUGAAUAUGGGCAUUGUCCACAUCUAAUCUAGAUGAUGUGGGUCCAGUUUUCUCUUUCUUCAAUCAUCUGAUGUUUUUACAUUCAAAUUGGUAGGAAAAGGAUGCUUUCCAGUUUAAUUUUCUUUAAAAUAAUUUCGCAGAUUUCUGAAUCCAUAUGCAAUUUUUAAGAGCACAGACUUUGGACUCAAAAAUGAGUUUAAAUUCUCAGUCUGCCACUUACAAGAUGAGUAAGGUGAAAAACCCCUUCACCUCUGUAAGCCUCAGGUGAGUAUCUUAUAAGGUUGCUGGAGAGGUUACGAGACACAAGGCAUAGAAAAGGGCUUCCUGUGUUAUAGUCUGCCCAUAGAGCAAGCACGUCUUUCUUUCUUUCUUUUCUUUCUUUCUUUUCUUCCUUCUUUCUUUUUUUUUUUUUUCAUUGAGAUAGGGCCUCACUCUGUCACCCAGGCUGCAGUGGAAUGGUGCCAUCUCGGCUCACUGCAACCUCCACCUCCUGGGUUCAAGCCAUUCUCAUGCCUGCCUUCUGAGUAGCUAGGAUUACAGGCACCUGCCACCAUGCCUGGCUAAGGUUUGUAUUUUUAGCAGAGAUGGGGUUUCAACAUGUUGACCAGGCUGGCCUUGAACUCCUGACCUCAGGUGAUCUGCCCACCUCAGCCUCCCAAACUGCUGGGGUGACAGGUGUGAGCCAACGUGCCUGGCCCAAUUAUGAUUAUUUCUGUUUUCUUAGUUUGUCCCUUACUUGAAACAGAUUAGUUAUUUACAACAUGGAGUUUGUGUCUCUGUAACUUUGUAAUCAUGCAAAAUAAUUGUACAUGAUCCACAUAUACACACACACACCACACACACACACAUAUCCUUAGAAGAAUAAUUUUCUCCAAAUUGAACUGUAAGGGUCUGUGUGAUUUGGGCAGAGAUAGUCGCUGCUGCUUUCCCAGCUAAUAAAGUUGUCCGAAUCUGUUUACUCUCAAAUUUAUAGAAAGAGCUUCAUUAGCAGCCUCCACGGAUGACACAGCCACCACAUGGCACGCAGAGUUAGUCUGAGGAUAAAUCUUGGUUUGCCCAGUUUUGCAGAGUGAUUCGUUUUUAAUGAAUUAUGCACACAGAUCAUAGGCUCUGCUCAAAGCCUCAUUUACUCUGGAAAUUCCUGAAAUUACUAUUCAUUUUGCUGAGUUCUUUUUUUACCCUCUUGAAAGCUCACAAAAACCCUCUGAAAAAGAAAAGCAUCAGCAUACAUAUUGUUGUAGAUUAGAAAACACAAAUGAUUUGAUAGAAAGCAGGUUUGGGGUGAAAUAAUCAUAAUAGUGAAUCAGCUCUCUGACUUUUUUUGAUGCUAUGGAAACCCUGGCAGUGAAGAAACUUUGAUUAAAUAGAUUCACAAUAGAUUCAAGCGUACUCAAGGGCUGGGGUCUUAACAUCUCUGGAGUGGCUCACAGUGCUGAGCACAUGGCAGACGCCCAAUCAAUUCGUGCAAACAAAUGAACAGAAUCAGAUUUCCAAGGAGUUCUUCAGGAAGUCAAGUAAUGCAUUGACCCUUUCCUUCAGCAUUACAUCCACGGAGCCUGCCUGUCUAAAUGAUUCAGAUCCGCUCUGCAACUCUAUGCAGGAGAAACACAUUUUCCUUUUCUGGUGGAUCAGACAACAGCAGGACUUCUGGAUUAUGUCUUCUGCAUAGGUUGCAGCAGGGAAACAUAGCAUUACGCGUGUAGACAGGGCAGGUUUAAUGCUAGGCAACGUUCUUAAGGGAGAUCAGAAAAGCAACUAGCAUGCCAGGUCUACUGUCCCGGCCCCCAAGGCUCAGCACAGAUAUUUGGAAAACCAGGAGUUGAGCAUUUGACUGGAAAAUAAAAACAACAUAGACUCGUGCAUUUGAUCAGUGAACUUGGAGCGCACACCAUGGAUUAGGCACAGCUGGGCACCGAGGAGACAUCACCUGGCUUAUAAGUCAUCUGUGCCCUCUGGGGACUGACAGUCCAGCUGGGAAUGAGGAUCAGGAGGUCAGAAAUUAAGUAAAGAGCAAAGAAGAAUGCAACAUGAGUAAACGCAAAAAUAAAAAAUAAAAACAAACAAAACAAGUUGGCCCUGACCAUCAGGCAGUAUGGUAUGGAGAAGACCACGGGCUUGUGUCUAUCAGUCAGACCUGCUUUGAGUCUUGGCUCCACCAUAAACCAGAUGAGUUAAGUUUCAUACCCUCUCUAAACGGUCGCCUCAGCUAUACAACAGGCUCAAUGAUAUUCACCCCACAAGAUUGCUAUAAGAAGGAAAUGGUAUGACCUUGGGGCAAGAAGAGGUACCAUUGUCCCCACUGUCCACAGAUGGUGACAUUUGUUCAGGACAACCUGGCCAUUAAGGAGGAGAACUCUAUGAGAACAAGGUCUGCGUCCCUAGAUGGCAUUCAUACAGUGGUGGUCUUUACACUGCUGGUGCUUUGAGAGGAAGAAGGGCAGUGACACCAACCGGACUACGGUCAGGGUAUUCUUCCCUGCCACGAACUCACAUUAAAGAUUUAAAACCCACUGGCCAAGGUGGCUCAUCACUGUAAUCCCAGCACUUUGGGAAGCCAAGGUAGGGGGAUUACUUGAAGCCAGGAGUUUGAGACCAGUCUGGGCAACACAGCAAGAGCCUAUCUCUACAAAAAAUUUAAAAAAUUAGCCAAGUGUGGUGGGGUACCCCUGUAGUCCCAGCUACUUGGGAAGCUGCAGUGGGAGGAUUCAGUGAGCCCAGGAGGUUAAGGUUUCAGUGUGCGGUGAUUGUGCCGCUGCACUCCAGCCUAGGUGACAGAGCGAGACCCUGUCUAAAAAUAAAUAAAUAAAAAAUAAAUAAAAUAAAAAUUGAAAUCCCAGUUUCACUAAACAAUGUCUUUGAUAAGGAAUAAGCAGGCCAGGCAUGGUGGCUCACCUCUAUAAUCCCAGCACUUUGGGAGGCCGAGGCAGGUGGAUCUCUUAAGCCCAGGAGUUCGAGACCAGCCUGGGCAACAUGGGGGGCCCUGUCCUUACUAAUAAUGCAAAAAAAAAAAAAAAAAAAAAUAGAGGGUGUGGUGGUGUGCACCUGUGUUUUCAGCUACUCAGGAGGCUGAGGUGGGAGAAUCACCCGAGCCCAGGAGGCUGAGGCUGCAGUGAGCUGUGACUGCACCACUGCACUCCAGCUUGGGUGACAGAGGAAGACUCUGUCUCAAACAAAGUCUUUCUUUAUAAGACUGUUUAUUAUUUAUCAACAGUGUUAGUUUUAUUCAAUCAUCCUUGGGUAUAUGUCUUUUUCAUAGUCUAUGUGAUAAACGGAAAGCUCAUAUGACACUUUGGCUGUGUGCUGAAGCACAGUGGCUGCGUCAAGGAAAAGUCAUUGUGAAGUUGUCUGAGUCCUAGACUCAACAAGCCUUUUUUAAAAAAAGAACGGAACAUCAUUUUUACUUGCAACAACACUCGACAGACAAAUCAUGGUUAUUCAGGCUUAGGUAGGUGGCAGACACUUUCUCGAAAAUGAACAAAGUGAGCCUGUCACUUUCAAGGAAAACAAUAGACAACUGGUUGCCAAUGAUAAAAUUUGAACAUUCAAGUAAAAAUGAGAAUGUUAAAAAACGUGUAUUUGCCAUGGCAAGCUUAACAGAUUCCCAGUUCUCAAAGACUUUUCCAGUGAGAUUAGUGGCAAUAAUUCAUGAAUGUGAUUUUUAAAAUAUUGUAUUGUCAAAUAUGCCAACAUUUGUAGGACUUUAAUAGCUAAGCAAACCAAUAUUUUCCAGAUGACCAGCGCAUGAUGUGACAAAACCAUCCUCUGGUAAAAGAUCCAUUUAGAGUGCAGAUGGGCCAGCGAAUUCUAAUGAAAGAGAAGAUGAAGUGUUCAUUGAUGUGGUUUCAGAUUUCCACAUUGCCGCUCACCUUUAAGAAACUGCCACUUGUUGAGUUUUGGUCUAGUAUCAAGAAGAACAGCCACAAUUAUCUGGAAAAGUCUAUCACAAUACUCAUCCCUUUGCCAAUUACAUAUCUGCAUGAGCUUGAUUUUCUUCAUGUACAUCAAUCAAAAUCUAUUGCAACAGACUGAAGUCAGAGGCAAGUACGGAAAUUCAGCCCUCCUAAAAGCACAUCUACCAUUCAAUCCAGCAAUCCCACUACUGGGUAUCCACCCAAAGGAAAAUAAGUCAUUAUAUGAAAAGGAUACCUGCACACAUAUGUUUAUAGCAGCACAAUUCACAAUUGCAAGCAUGUGAAACCAACCUAAGUGCCCACUGACUAAUCAGUGGAUAAAGAAACUGUGGUAUAUGUACACCGUGGAAUACUACUCAGCCACUAAAAGGAACCAAAGGCCACGUGAGGUGGCUCAGGUCUGUAAUCCCAGCACUUUGGAAGGCUGAGGCGGGUGGAUCACCUGAGGUCAGGAGUUCAAGACCAGCCUGGCCACAUGGUGAUACCCAGUGUCUACCAAAAAUACAAAAAAUUAGCUGGGUGUGGUGGCGGGUGCCUGUAAUCCCAGCUACUCAGGAGGCUGAGGCAGGAGAAUCACUUGAACCUGGGAGGGGGAGGUUGCAGUGAGCCGAGAUCACACCAUUGCACUCCAGCCUGGGCAACAGGAGCGAAACUCCAUCUCAAAAAAUAAAUAAAUAAAUAAAUAAAUAAAUAAAUAAAUAAAUAAGAGGAACGAAAUAAUGUCUUUUGCGGCAACUUACAUGGAGGAUGGAGCUGGAGGCCAUUAUUCUAAGUGAAGUAAUUCAGGAGUAGAAAACCAAGACCAAUGUGUUCUCACUUAUAAAGAGAGCUGAACUAUGAGUAUGCAAAGGCAUAUAGAGCGAUAUAAUGGACUUUGGAGGCUCAGAAGUGAGAGAGCAGGAGGCAGGCUAGGGAUAAAAAGACUGCACAUUAAAUACGAUGUACACGGCUUGGGUGACUGGUGCAGUAAAUCCUCAGAAUUCAUCCCUGUAUAAUACAUUUGUGUAAUGAAAAACCGUACCCCAAAAGCUGUUGAAAAGAUUUUUUUUAAUUAAGCUAUUCUCUAUUAAACCUGACAUUAAAGAGAUUUGCAAAAAUGUAAAAUAAUAUUACUCUUCUCACUGAUUUUUUUAUUUUGGAUC
rnacentral:lncRNA from 10 species